CGAAGGGGCUAGCGUUGUUCGGAAUUACUGGGCGUAAAGCGCACGUAGGCGGAUAUUUAAGUCAGGGGUGAAAUCCCGGGGCUCAACCCCGGAACUGCCUUUGAUACUGGGUAUCUCGAGUCCGAGAGAGGUGAGUGGAAUUCCGAGUGUAGAGGUGAAAUUCGUAGAUAUUCGGAGGAACACCAGUGGCGAAGGCGGCUCACUGGCUCGGUACUGACGCUGAGGUGCGAAAGCGUGGGGAGCAAACAGGAUU
rnacentral:rRNA from 1 species